GGGGAGUCGCCUUCAGUAUCAGGAUCGUUCACCUAUGCCAGCAUCGUCAUCUAUUAGUGCUCCCGUUCCUAGAGGUAAGCAGGAGCAAGGUAGCAGGUCAAAUACAUCCAGGUCCCAGUACAGUGCUGGUAGUAAGCCAAAUUGUCCCUUGUGUCCUAGGUGUGGUAGGUAUUAUUCGGGUGAGUGUUAGGGUGAGAAGAGGGGUUGUUUCCGGUAUGGUGACAUGGUUCACAGAGUUAGAGAUUGUUCACAGGAUGGACAAGGGCGUCGUGACUAUCGCCCUCAGACCCAGACUCAGACUGUUAGUGCUCCAGUUCCAGCGACUUGCCCAGC
rnacentral:lncRNA from 1 species